GAUGAACGCUGGCGGCGUGCUUAACACAUGCAAGUCGAACGGUGAAGGCGGAGCUUGCUCUGCUGGAUCAGUGGCGAACGGGUGAGUAACACGUGAGCAAUCUGCCCCUGACUCUGGGAUAAGCGCUGGAAACGGCGUCUAAUACUGGAUACGAGCUGCGAAGGCAUCUUCAGCAGCUGGAAAGAACUUCGGUCAGGGAUGAGCUCGCGGCCUAUCAGCUUGUUGGUGAGGUAACGGCUCACCAAGGCGUCGACGGGCAGCCGGCCUGAGAGGGUGACCGGCCACACUGGGACUGAGACACGGCCCAGACUCCUACGGGAGGCAGCAGUGGGGAAUAUUGCACAAUGGGCGAAAGCCUGAUGCAGCAACGCCGCGUGAGGGACGACGGCCUUCGGGUUGUAAACCUCUUUUAGCAGGGAAGAAGCGAAAGUGACGGUACCUGCAGAAAAAGCGCCGGCUAACUACGUG
rnacentral:rRNA from 1 species